rnacentral:lncRNA from 1 species
UGUGCAGCAAACACCUUAUCUGCUGCGCCAUCUCUCCAGCCCUGGGUUUGGUUUCCGGUUCAGAGGGAACUGGUUUUCCCAACACCAUUUAUUAAGCAUCCUGCGUUUCCUCUGUCCAUCUGGGCUGCUGUUGUAACUCAUGUUAACUCCUAGACUUACACAUCCACCUGUCUGAGUCUCCUCUCCCAUGUUGCUCUUGGGCCCACUUGGUGAUAAGCUCUCCCUUGCUCUGAACAUCCCUCCUGUUUGUCACAGUGCCGUGAUAUGUCCUAGGUAAACUUGCUAUUGCGCCACCACAGCCCUAUGCUCCUCCGUCUUACAACACCGUGCAGGAAGGCAAGAAUCUUCUCCGCCCUUGAUAUUAAGGGACUGCUCACAGACGCCUGCCUCCUCCCAGCUCUGGAACCAGCGUCUGCAUGGAAAAAGACACAUCCUCCUGUGAGAAAAGAAAGUCAGAGCUGCCAAGAAAAUGAGUGUUAGCUCAGCUUCCUCCUUCUGGAAGCUUCUUUUCCCACACCCACCCCUCUGGAUCAGCUCAAACAACUAAAGACAGUAUCUUGACACUUGCAGUUUAUUUUCCCUGCUCCAAGUUGAGAUGGGAGAAACGCAUGUAAACUGGAGCAAGAAGGAAAUUCCUGAGAGGGUGGGCUACAACCGGCUUGCUGUCCGGUCACCAUUUGGUGACUUUGUUCUUGUGAUUUAAGCGACAAGGUCUCAUGUAUCCCAAGCUUGCUUUGAACUCUCUAUGUAGCCAACAAGGACCUUGAAAUUCAGAGCCUCCUGCUCCUGGCUCCAAACCCUGGAUUACAGCAUCCAGUGCCACUCCCUGUUUACCUCUCAUGAGUGGAGUGCUAGCUAAGUACUCCACCAACCCAGCUACACCCACAGUGGUUUUGUUUGUGUUCGCUACUGAGAUAGGUUCUCGCUAAGAAGCCCAGGCUGGCCUUAGUCUCCAGAUUCUCCCUGCCUAAGUCUCCUAGUUCAGGAAUUAUAAGUGUCAACCACUACUCUCAGCUCCCUUUCCCUUCUUUUUGCUUAAAAAUUAAAAAAAAAAAAAAUUAAAAAAAAAAAAUCAGUGCUGAUGGUGGGAGAAGGGCUGGCAAGAUGGCUCAACCCGUAAAGGUGACUGCCCCUAAGCCUGACAGCCUGAGUUCAGUCUUCAGGACCCACAGGGUAGAAAUGGGAAAAAAAAAAAAAAAAAAGUCCUGCAAAUCGUUCUCAGAACAGGCCGUGACGUGCACUUGCCUCUUCAUGCC